rnacentral:lncRNA from 1 species
UCGGUGUUGCUCUGUUGAUCGUAAGUUCCAUCUAUGAAACCCAAUUUGUUUUUGGCUUUCAAAGCUAUUUUGAUUGCUCUCUCCCAUGUGUUGUAAUUGUUGCCAUUGAGGAUGUUGGAUACCAAGACCAAUCCAGGAUGGUCGGCACUGUGAAGGAAGAAGGGGUUUUGGGAAUCAUCCGUUUGCUCUCUAGCCAUUGAAGAUUAAAGUUUGAAACUCAAUCACUAAGCUGAAAAAAAAUUUGUUUGAUAAAAAAAAACACUCUGAUACCAUGUUAGGAACGGAGAAGAAGAAAGAGAAUGAUGGAGAAAAAUUACUCUGAGUUUUUUGAU